GCAGCCGCGGUAAUACGUAGGUGGCAAGCGUUGUCCGGAAUUAUUGGGCGUAAAGCGCGCGCAGGCGGUUUCUUAAGUCUGAUGUGAAAGCCCCCGGCUCAACCGGGGAGGGUCAUUGGAAACUGGGGAACUUGAGUGCAGAAGAGGAGAGUGGAAUUCCACGUGUAGCGGUGAAAUGCGUAGAGAUGUGGAGGAACACCAGUGGCGAAGGCGACUCUCUGGUCUGUAACUGACGCUGAGGCGCGAAAGCGUGGGGAGCGAACAGGAUUAGAUACCCUGGUAGUCCACGCCGUAAACGAUGAGUGCUAAGUGUUAGAGGGUUUCCGCCCUUUAGUGCUGCAGCAAACGCAUUAAGCACUCCGCCUGGGGAGUACGGUCGCAAGACUGAAACUCAAAGGAAUUGACGGGGGCCCGCACAAGCGGUGGAGCAUGUGGUUUAAUUCGAAGCAACGCGAAGAACCUUACCAGGUCUUGACAUCCUCUGACAACCCUAGAGAUAGGGCUUCCCCUUCGGGGGCAGAGUGACAGGUGGUGCAUGGUUGUCGUCAGCUCGUGUCGUGAGAUGUUGGGUUAAGUCCCGCAACGAGCGCAACCCUUGAUCUUAGUUGCCAGCAUUCAGUUGGGCACUCUAAGGUGACUGCCGGUGACAAACCGGAGGAAGGUGGGGAUGACGUCAAAUCAUCAUGCCCCUUAUGACCUGGGCUACACACGUGCUACAAUGGGCAGAACAAAGGGCAGCGAAGCCGCGAGGCUAAGCCAAUCCCACAAAUCUGUUCUCAGUUCGGAUCGCAGUCUGCAACUCGACUGCGUGAAGCUGGAAUCGCUAGUAAUCGCGAU
rnacentral:rRNA from 1 species